rnacentral:lncRNA from 1 species
UGAAAAUCUUAUGCCAGACAGAUGACUCUACUAAUUGCACAGUGCAAGCUUUAGAGAGAAUAAAGGGAAUCAUUUGGAAAGAAAAGACCAAAUUGUAACUUACUUCUUCAAAAAUUUAUACCCCACUUUAAAAAUUGAACCAGCAUGCCUGACCCUAUAUCGAUUUUUAUUGAAUAAUACUGGCGACUUAGAAGUGGAGCUGGCAAUCCUUAGGGACCUAGCAUACAUCAUAACGAAGAAAUCAUACUUCACAUUUAAUAACAAGUUUUAUCUGCAGAAUAUCGGUGUGCCUAUCAGGAGCCCUGUGGCAGCCCCUAUUGCAGAAAUGACUUUGAGGGAAGUUGAAACAAAAGCAUUGAAUAGUUGAAGAAGCAACAUCAAACAUUCUACAUAAGAUACAUUGACAUCAUUUUUACAGUUUGGAGAGCAAAACAAGAUCCCAGAAUAUUAGCAAUAGAUCUCAAUAGAUGCUUACGGCCUAACUUUAAAGCGGCAAGACAAGUUUACUACUAGUGCGCUCUUUCUAGACAUAAACUUAGUGCUCAAAGAUUGUAAUAUGAAAACCACAGUAUUCAAAAAACGAAUAUAUGAACCUGUAAUCAUCCCCAAUUGGUCACCAGACCCUUACACCUACAAGCUUGCAGAUUUCCACUUUUAUUUCCAACGAGCCAUCCUCUACACAAACAGGCAAAGGGAUUUGGAUGGUGAACUGGAUUGUCUUUUUAAGGUGGGCCAAGCACAUGGUUAUUCUAAACACACUUUGAAAGGCCUCUUUUCAAAAGUAAAGCAAUC